rnacentral:rRNA from 1 species
GCGGUAAGGCCCUUCGGGGUACACGAGCGGCGAACGGGUGAGUAACACGUGGGUGAUCUGCCUUGCACUCUGGGAUAAGCCUGGGAAACUGGGUCUAAUACCGGAUAGGACCAUGCCAUGCAUGUGGUGUGGUGGAAAGAUUUAUCGGUGUGAGAUGGGCCCGCGGCCUAUCAGCUUGUUGGUGGGGUAAUGGCCUACCAAGGCGACGACGGGUAGCCGGCCUGAGAGGGCGACCGGCCACACUGGGACUGAGACACGGCCCAGACUCCUACGGGAGGCAGCAGUGGGGAAUAUUGCACAAUGGGCGGAAGCCUGAUGCAGCGACGCCGCGUGAGGGAUGACGGCCUUCGGGUUGUAAACCUCUUUCGACUCCGACGAAGCGAAAGUGACGGUAGGGGUAGAAGAAGCACCGGCCAACUACGUGCCAGCAGCCGCGGUAAUACGUAGGGUGCGAGCGUUGUCCGGAAUUACUGGGCGUAAAGAGCUUGUAGGCGGUUUGUCGCGUCGUCCGUGAAAACUCAGGGCUCAACUCUGAGCUUGCGGGCGAUACGGGCAGACUUGAGUACUGCAGGGGAGACUGGAAAUUCCUGGUGUAGCGGUGAAAUGCGCAGAUAUCAGGAGGAACACCGGUGGCGAAGGCGGGUCUCUGGGCAGUAACUGACGCUGAGAAGCGAAAGCGUGGUAGCG